GCGUCAAAUUCAGCUAAUAUUUCGCUGUUGACACAGGCAAAGAGAACAACUUGGAUUGUAUCGCUUAUUGGGACAACUUAUUUCUGUCGUUUUCAUAAUAAAAAUAUAUCAUUCUAAGACAAAUUUUAAAAUACCAGUUCUAUUGUCGUCAUUGUCUAUACCACUCAUUGUUUUGGUCUGUUUUAGGAGCAAGUCACAAGCAUGCGGUUGUAUCUUAUCUUCCUUGGGUUGGGGUUGCUCCUCUCCAAAACCGAGAUGGUGAUACACGGGGCGGUGGUCGUGAUGCGUUCUGCUGGAGGCAGGGGAGGAUCAUGGUCUGGAACAGGAUCAGUUAGUCGAGGUGGCGGUGGGGGUAUCAGUCACCACAGAUCGAUUGACCAAUUUCCAUACACACCCGCAGGAUCGUACAGAUUUGAUGGUGAAGAUCCCAAAGAAAGGUGGAAGGUUCAUCAGUUUGAAAGAGAUGCUGUCCUGUUGAGGAGAAAAUCCAAACAAAGAACAUAUUCGUACGGCUUCAGAGGGACAAAGUUGUAAUGUUAUUUUGAUGUAUGAAUAAUUGUAUUUUGUAACUAAAAUUGUACAUAUGUAUUUUAGUACCAAGUAAAUCAAGCUCAUAAAUAUAAUUGUUUGCUAAUUAUAUCUUUGUAUGUUCAUACUUAUUUAGUAAUGCAGGGGGAAUUAUAUUGUGGUCCAUACCCUUAUCGGAAUUUAUACAUAAUUACAUUUACUAAACACUUUUGUUAACUGUAUUCACAGCGAUAACGAAUAAAUUUACUAAUAAAUAGCGUCACGACAAUAAUAA